rnacentral:lncRNA from 1 species
CCGCCAGACCCUCACCUUCACCACCAACCGCCUGAAGGAGUUCCUGGUGGAGCACCAGCGGCGCCGCGGCGAGGCCGUCACCAAGCACAAGGUCUUACUCCGCUCCUACCAGGGCGGCCAGCCGCCGGGGCCGCAGUAGCCGCGAGGGGCGAGGAGCCAGAGGAACAUUCCAGGGGCCGCGGGACGGGGCGGCCGAGGAGCCGGGAGGAGCCCACGGACCCCACGUGCCGGGGACGCUGGCGGGGCAGGACGGGGAAUGGGACGGGGACAGGCGGCGACUCUUUAGGUGGAGACGAUGGAGAGGGAAAAUGGAGCCCCAGCGGGGGCCGGGCAGCGAUGCCGGGAUGGAUGGAUGGAUGGACGGGAUGCGGAUGAGGAGCUCGGAGAGCCGCCAGCACGCCGGCCAGCCUGGGCCAUGCAGUCGGUGGGGUCUGACCCCACAACACGGGUCCUGCCGCAGCUCAGCCGCGUGCCUUACACCACAACCCGCGGCUCCCACCGGCCACAAGCACAGGGGGCGAGGGGCACAAGCCCCCCUGCACAGACUGAGGGUGCCCGGCAGUGCCCAAGGAGGGGGGCUGUGCGGAGAGGGGCCAGCCACCAGCACGGCCCUGUGGGGCUGCAGCCCGGGACCCACGCCGGUGCCUUCCCUGGGGCUGCGUGCCACCCCCGGCAGCCCCGUGCCACGCACACUCCUGCGCCUGCUCAGGCCCACGCUGCUCGUGCUCCCUGGGGGCACCCCGAGCGGGUGGAGAUGCUCACCCACGCGCCUGCUCCUGCAAAGCCCCCCCGGCACCCCCUGCAGCACCUCCCGCCCCGCAGUGCGCUCACGCACGGCCCCACACGUGCCUUGCUGAGCCACACACCCCCUUGCACACGCGUGCCCUUGCACAUGCACACGCGCCACCCGCACCGGGGCCGUGCGGGGUGCUCCGUGCUCCGCGCCCCUCCCUGCCCGGCCCCCCUUCGCCUCCCCUGGGUGCCCCGCUGCGGGUCGGGGGCAGCGUUUGGGCACCGCCUUCCAGCUGCUGCUGUAGCGCUCGGGCUUUAUUUAUUGACCUGGGGGAGAAGGCUGCUGCCCCGGCUCUGCCC